AUGGCCCCAAAUUGAGGCCAGCAGUUUGCUGAAUCUGUUGGUUUCAAGCAGGAGCCUAAAGAAUUAUCUUUCUCUGGUCUGUUGGCCAUUUCAGAACUUUGGAAAUAUAAUGGUCAAUUCAUUAGAAAGAAAUAUCU
rnacentral:snoRNA from 1 species